rnacentral:misc_RNA from 1 species
GCGUCCGGUAGGGGCCCUCUGGCCCUAUCAACGACCCGAGUUUGGAGUCCCUGGGGCUCGGCCUCGGCGAGAUACGGCCCGUCAAAUCUUCGACCUUAGGGGGGCGCUAUCCCCGGCCCCCGGGGGGCCAUCGGCCCGCGGGUGGCGGCG